CCAAUAGCGUAUAUUAAAGUUGCUGCAGUUAAAAAGCUCGUAGUUGAAUUUCGGGAUCAAUUUACUGGUCGUGCCUACGGUACGUACUGGUAUUGUUGGUUCCUCCUUUCUGAGGAGCCGCGAUGUCAUUAACUUGGUGUCGCGGGGAAUCAGGACUGUUACUUUGAAAAAAUUAGAGUGUUUAAAGCAGGCUAACGCUUGAAUACAUUAGCAUGGAAUAAUGAAAUAGGACGUUUGAUCCUAUUUUGUUGGUUUCUAGGGUCGACGUAAUGAUUAAUAGGGAUAGUUGGGGGCAUUAGUAUUCAAUUGUCAGAGGUGAAAUUCUUGGAUUUAUUGAAGACUAACUACUGCGAAAGCAUUUGCCAAGGAUGUUUUCAUUAAUCAAGAACGAAAGUUAGGGGAUCGAAGACGAUCAGAUACCGUCGUAGUCUUAACCAUAAACUAUGCCGACUAGGGAUCGGAUGAUGUUAAUUUUUUAAUGACUCAUUCGGCGCCUUACG
rnacentral:rRNA from 1 species